rnacentral:tRNA from 1 species
GGAGGUUUAGCUCAGUUGUAGAGUGCAUGCUUAGCAUGCAUGACAUCCUACGUUCAAUCCCCAGUACCUUCU